rnacentral:rRNA from 1 species
UGGGGAAUAUUGCACAAUGGGCGCAAGCCUGAUGCAGCCAUGCCGCGUGUGUGAAGAAGGCCUUCGGGUUGUAAAGCACUUUCAGCGAGGAGGAAGGUGGUGAGCUUAAUACGCUCAUCAAUUGACGUUACUCGCAGAAGAAGCACCGGCUAACUCCGUGCCAGCAGCCGCGGUAAUACGGAGGGUGCAAGCGUUAAUCGGAAUUACUGGGCGUAAAGCGCACGCAGGCGGUUUGUUAAGUCAGNUGUGAAAUCCCCCGGGCUCAACCUGGGAACUGCAUUUGAAACUGGCAAGCUAGAGUCUCGUAGAGGGGGGUAGAAUUUCCAGGUGUAGCGGUGAAAUGCGUAGAGAUCUGGAGGAAUACCGGUGGCGAAGGCGGCCCCCUGGANGAAGACUGACGCUCAGGUGCGAAAGCGUGGGG